GGCUUAGAGUUUGAUCAUGGCUCAGGAUGAACGCUAGCUACAGGCUUAACACAUGCAAGUCGAGGGGCAUCAGGAAGAAAGCUUGCUUUCUUUGCUGGCGACCGGCGCACGGGUGAGUAACACGUAUCCAACCUGCCCUUUACUCGGGGAUAGCCUUUCGAAAGAAAGAUUAAUACCCGAUGGCAUAAUGAUUCCGCAUGGUUUCAUUAUUAAAGGAUUCCGGUAAAGGAUGGGGAUGCGUUCCAUUAGGUUGUUGGUGAGGUAACGGCUCACCAAGCCUUCGAUGGAUAGGGGUUCUGAGAGGAAGGUCCCCCACAUUGGAACUGAGACACGGUCCAAACUCCUACGGGAGGCAGCAGUGGGGAAUAUUGGUCAAUGGGCGCUAGCCUGAACCAGCCAAGUAGCGUGAAGGAUGAAGGCUCUAUGGGUCGUAAACUUCUUUUAUAUAAGAAUAAAGUGCAGUAUGUAUACUGUUUUGUAUGUAUUAUAUGAAUAAGGAUCGGCUAACUCCGUGCCAGCAGCCGCGGUAAUACGGAGGAUCCGAGCGUUAUCCGGAUUUAUUGGGUUUAAAGGGAGCGUAGGUGGACUGGUAAGUCAGUUGUGAAAGUUUGCGGCUCAACCGUAAAAUUGCAGUUGAUACUGUCAGUCUUGAGUACAGUAGAGGUGGGCGGAAUUCGUGGUGUAGCGGUGAAAUGCUUAGAUAUCACGAAGAACUCCGAUUGCGAAGGCAGCUCACUGGACUGCAACUGACACUGAUGCUCGAAAGUGUGGGUAUCAAACAGGAUUAGAUACCCUGGUAGUCCACACAGUAAACGAUGAAUACUCGCUGUUUGCGAUAUACAGUAAGCGGCCAAGCGAAAGCAUUAAGUACUCCACCUGG
rnacentral:rRNA from 1 species